CCUGGGUAUUAAAUAUCAGAAGUUCAAUUCAUAUAUACAAUUCAUUGCAAGGACUUCAAAUUAGUAGAAAAUUUGAGAAUGAUGAGAGAUUCCUAAAUGUGAGAGAUAAAAGUCAAAUUUCAAUUCGGAGUUUAGGAGUUGUUGAGCUUGUUUUCAAAUCUAAUUGAGUCAUUUUAAGUGAUUAUCACUAUUGUCCAUCUUUCUUGAUGAAUAUAGUCUUUGUUGAUCUUUUAACCAAAGAUGGUUAUAGUUUAUCAAUAAAGAAUGAUUAUUAUGA
rnacentral:lncRNA from 1 species